CUGAUGACAAGAUGGAAAUACAGCAGAAGUUGGUGCACUGCAACUGACUGGAGAAGUUUCAAAGGAUCUGGGGACAAGGAGUGAAGAAAGGAGCAAAAGGAAGAAGACCAGAAUCUGAGACAAGGAAUUGUCCCAUGUGCUCGAAGUCUUUGAAGAGCAAAAAUCAAGGAGAGUAAGAAUGGAAGCCACUCAACUACUGCUUCAGAACAAAGUUAGCACGGGCUCCUGAGAAAUGACUAGAAGAUAUGCCUGGGAUUCAAAGGACCUCAGAGCCACCCAUAGCUAAUGUCCCUGUCAUCCAACAGAUGCUGUGGCUUUGGGAAAGAACAGCCUUUCUUGACCUCAAAUCUUUGUGUCUGAAAAAUGAGAGGGGUACCAGAUGCUACCUAAGCAGUCUUCCUACCUAAAAUGUAUGAGUAUAAGAAGAAUGAUCAAUUUUAAUCUCAAAAUACAAUUCUCACCUUUCAGUUACCAAGAUACAGCCCCCUUCCCUUAACCUGAGCUACAACAAAACAUAAGUUCAAUAGAGAAUUGAUUAAUGAGUAUAAAAAGGCAGCCCUGUGUUCUUGUGCUCAGAAUUGGUUGGCUCUGUUCAAUUCAAUGAGCAAGAAGACUGAAUCCUGUACUGUGUUUCAUUAGCAAGUACAAUAGCCCAGUUUUGAUAAAGUGACUCAAAUCACCUGAUCUCUUUUUAUUCCCCAUGUAUUAGCCAAACAUUAUUAUGAAGUAUGCUGUUGCCAGGCUACUAUUUAGAAUGUAUGUUAUAAGACAUGUCUGUAGGACUUUUGAAAUCAUCUUUCAGUUUUAUUCCCAGUAGUCACUUUCUAAGAAUUAAUUUCUCUUUUAUUAUGUGGUAAUAUUAAAGAGACAGUGUGUACAGUGUGUGUACAUAUGACUCACAGCAAAUUAAGAGUAUUGUGCCUUACUCUAUCCAGAGAAUCUCCCUGCCAAUGGUUGCUGCUCCCACCUUUUUCUCUGAGCCACAUCCUUGGCAUCUCACAGCUAGAUUACUGCAAUAGUUCCCCAACAGUCAGCCUGCCUCUCACAUUCUGAUAUGUCCUGGACUUCUUUGAUCAAUCCUGUUAAACCCCUAUGCCAGAGGGAACCCCUGCAUUAGUUUUUCUCAUGCAUUGAUUUUGCUUUCAUUAGUAUGCUUACCUAAGAUAUGGUCUUUACAAAAUAUUUGAAGAUGAUGAUGGUGCAAGGAGAUGAUGAGAAUUACCUUUGAUUUUGGGUGGACUGCUGCUGCUUCCAUCCUAAAAUGUGCCUACAUUGUUCUUUAUCUUACCAUAGGAUCUCUAAUCAUUCUCCCUGUAACUAACUGGAAAUAUGUGAUAACAAUUAGAGUCCCUGUAAUCUCAGCACUUUAGGAGGAUGAGGCGGGCGGAUUGCUUGAGCCCAGGAGUUUGAGACCAGCCUGGGCAACAUGGCAAAACCCAGCCACUACCAACAAAAAUACAAAAAUUAGCCAGGCGUGGUGGUGCACACCUGUAGUCCCAGCUACUUGGGAGACUGAGGUGGGAGGAUAGCUUGAGCCCAGGAGAUGGAGGUUGCAGUGAGCCGAGAUCAUGACACUGCACUCCAGCCUGGGUAAUAGAACCAGACUGUUAAAAAA
rnacentral:lncRNA from 1 species